UGUUUACGUUCUUAUAUUUUGAUCAUUUUAAGUUAAUGUUUUUAAAUCAUGUUUGUUGAAAUGAUGACGGGUUGUCAGAUUUGCACACUGCGUUUCUCAGAACAGCAG